CCUCAAGCGAUCUUCCUGCCUCAGCCUCCCGAGUCUCUAGGAUUACAGACACGAGUCACCAUGCCCAUCAUAAGUCAUAUUUUUAAAAUCUUCUACAGGUGUUAGGGAAUUGAGGAAUAGAUUGUGUCUAGCUUGUUUGCAUUUACAAUGAUUAUAUUUGGUGAAUUAGAUGUAAAAGAGCCCCUCCUUACACAAUAUUUUUUAAAUGUAAUAGAAUUCACUUUAAGAUGUUUUAAAUUUUCAUUUCUAGUGGAGCUCUAGGCAAUUGAAUUCUUCAGCAGUCUACCAUCUCUUAGUUUUUAUCAGGUUCUGAGAAAAAUGAAAAAAAAAAUCAGAGUAGAAGAUGUCAUCAACAUUACCAUGACAAAGAAAGUUUUAUUUUUCUGGACUAAGUGCCUUCUAAUGUCAAAAAGAGAAAGAAAAUGUUAUUUUUAAAGAACAAAAACAUUUCUAGGCUGAGCGCAGUGGCUCAUGCCUGUAAUCCCAACACUUUGGGAGGCUGAGGGGGGCGGAUCACGAGGUCAAGAGACUGAGACCUUCCUGGCCAAAAUGGUGAAACCCCAUCUCUACUAAAAAUACAAAAAUUAGCUGGGCGUGGUGGCACAUGCCUGUAGUCCCAGCUACUCGGGAGGCUGAGGGAGGAGAAUCACUUGAACCCGGGAGGCAGAGGUUGCAGUGAGCUGAGAUUGUGCCACUGCACUCCAGCCUGGUGACAGAGCCAGACUCCGUCUCAAAAAAAAAAAAAAAAAAAGAAAAAGAAAUCUAAAUUUUUUGUAUGUGAUGUUUGCUUUUAAUACUAAAACCAAGAAGAACUGAUGCUUAUGGAGUGUGUGCCCAGUGCUUGUCCCUGAACUCAGUGCUGGAUGUGCAUUAAUUCAUUCAAAUCUCACAGUAACUUAGGCCAGCAGGAGCCACUACUAACUACCCCAUUUUACAGAUGAAGAAACUGAGGGUUGAUGAGAUUAAGUAACUCAUCCAAGGUCCCAUGGCUAGUAAAUGGGUAUCCAAAAUUUGUCUGACUCAUAGCCUGAGUUUUAGCCACUACACAUCCUGACCUCUUUCUUUUUCAUUUUUGUUCGAGACAAGGUCUGGCUCUGUUGCUCAGGCUGGAGUGCAGUGGCGCUAUCUCAGCUCACUGCAAGCUCUGCCUCCUGGGCUCAAGUAAUCCUCCCAUUUCAGCCUCCCGAGUAGCUGGGACUACAUGCACAUACCACCACAUCCAGUUCAUUUUUGUGGGGUUUUUUGGUUGUUGUUGUUUUGUUUUGUUUUGUUUUUUUGUAGAGACGGGGUUUCACCAUGUUGCCCAGGAUAGUCUCGAACUCCUGUGCUCAAGAGAUCCACCCACCUUGGCCUCCCAAAGUUCCUGGAUUACAGGCUUAAGGAAACUGAACUUCCGCCCAGACAAAGAAAGACUUUUCUGUCCUUUCAGAUACUCCUUUAUUUCUUGAGUCAAAGUGCAAACUUCCAGAAAUCGGUUUCUCUGCCAAGGUAUGUCAGAGUCCUAAGCACCCGAGCCUUGUUGCUGAAUGGCAUCAGGAUCAAAGGCCUGUGACAGUCUAACUAUCCUUGUUGUGCUUUCUCGAGAGGCCUAUUCUAACACCUUUUUGUUUGUCCAACAGUGAGACUGAGAAGCACUUUCUAAACUUUAAUUAGGCUGCUCUCCUGGGAUUCUGUGCUCAGAGAGUCCUUCCCUGGCCUACAGCAGACAGGCUGCCCCUCUGGGCUUAGUUGGUGCCCUGGGUCCCCCAGAACACCCUUUUCUCAUCCUUUCUGGGCACACAGAAACCUCCCAGAUCAUCCAUGCCCAGUAGUUACCAAAUGGGGCCCUAGCGGACCCCCCUACUUUGAGCCCCCCACCCUUUUAAGUACUCCACGUACCGCAGAUGAAGCUGCCACAGUUGCCAGCACGUCAGCACAGGAACCGCCGCAGUCUGUCCCCCUUCCCCACACAUCCCACUUUGACUCUCCAUGUCGCCAGCUCCCGUUAAACUGGGCUCUUCACAUCACUCCUGGGUUCUGCCUUUUCCAUCUGACUACGUGGUGACCAUCUAUUCAGCUCAGGCCCUGGCCCCCUCAGACUCCGUUUCCACUGUUUGCUCAUUGUCUCCCCUGCACCCCGGCCUCACAGGGUACCCCCACAGCUGUGCAGCCAUCCACAGGCCCUUCCCAUCUAGAGAGGGAAGCCGACAAUGGAAUCCCAUUGGGGAGAGCCAGAAGGAGCAUCCAUAAAGUGCUAGACACUUGGCAAUUGUCACUUAAUCCUCACAACAACUUGUAAUUUAUUUAUCCUCCACUUUAUUCCAGAAAUGGGUUAAGAAGCCUUAUGAGACUACAUAAAAGACCAACUUAGCAUGAAUUAAAAGCAGAAGCAAAAGAAGAAAGAGAAAUAACAGGGCACAUAAACCAAAAUUAAAGAG
rnacentral:lncRNA from 10 species